rnacentral:rRNA from 1 species
GUCGAGAAUCUUUCACAAUGGGGGAAACCCUGAUGGAGCGACGCCGCGUGGGGGAUGAAUGGCUUCGGCCCGUAAACCCCUGUCAUUCGGGAUCAAUGCUCCCGACCUAAUACGUCGUGAGUUGAUAGUACCGGAAGAGGAAGGGACGGCUAACUCUGUGCCAGCAGCCGCGGUAAUACAGAGGUCCCAAGCGUUGUUCGGAUUUACUGGGCGUAAAGGGUGCGUAGGUGGUCGGGUAAGUCUGAUGUGAAAUCUCGGAGCUCAACUCCGAAACGGCAUUGGAUACUAUCCGGCUGGAGGAUUGGAGGGGGGACUGGAAUUCUCGGUGUAGCAGUGAAAUGCGUAGAUAUCGAGAGGAACACCAGUGGCGAAGGCGAGUCCCUGGACAACUCCUGACACUGAGGCACGAAAGCCAGGGGAGCAAACGGGAUUAGAAACCCUAGUAGUCC